rnacentral:rRNA from 1 species
UGGGGAAUAUUGGACAAUGGGCGGAAGCCUGAUCCAGCAACGCCGCGUGAGGGAUGACGGCCUUCGGGUUGUAAACCUCUUUCAGUACCGACGAAGCGCCGAUGAUGGUGGUGACGGUAGGUACAGAAGAAGCACCGGCCAACUACGUGCCAGCAGCCGCGGUAAUACGUAGGGUGCGAGCGUUGUCCGGAAUUAUUGGGCGUAAAGGGCUCGUAGGCGGUUUGUCGCGUCGGGAGUGAAACCCAGGGCUUAACUCUGGGCUGGCUUUCGAUACGGGCAGACUAGAGGCAUGCAGGGGGAGAACGGAAUUCCUGGUGUAGCGGUGAAAUGCGCAGAUAUCAGGAGGAACACCGGUGGCGAAGGCGGUUCUCUGGGCAUGUCCUGACGCUGAGGAGCGAAAGUGUGGGGAGCGGAACAGGAUUAGAUACCCUGGUAGUCCACACCGUAAACGUUGGGCGCUAGGUGUGGGGCCUAGUUCCAUGGGUUCCGUGCCGCAGCUAACGC